rnacentral:tRNA from 1 species
CUAGACGGGUGGGCCUCGAUCCCACAAAACUCUAAUUAACAGCUAGAUGCUUCAACCAGCUAGCUUCCGCCUA